rnacentral:lncRNA from 1 species
GCCGCUGUCGCCGAGCGUCGGAGCCCGAGGGGCCGCGGCCGCGCGCCGCGGGGGGAGGAGACGGUCUGGAGUCCCCCCGCUGCGCCGGGGAUGAGGAGACGGAGGACUGCAGCGCCCCUUGGGGUUUCUGAGGCGCCCAGGUAACCUCACCUGGCCGCCAGUCUCCCGCAGGAGGAACAGACACAUUGGUUCUACACCGAACCUAUUAACAGCUCAACUUCAAAUAUUUGGCAGAGGUGGGAUUGCUGUUCACUAAGGUUAUAUGAGCCAGCUUGGUUACGCAAAUGUGAAAAUGCACAUUUUCCAGCCUGUGGUAAGGUGGAAACAUCAGGGCAGAAGAACAUAACUGAUAAUAGCUGCUCACACCUAAGUAGCCAGGAAGCAGAGAGAAAUGGAGACCAGCCUAUGAGGACACAUACCUAGUGACCUUCUUCCCAACUUUGGGUUUCCACCAAUUCACAAGAACACCAUUAAUUAUGAAUUCAUCAACAAACCAAUUCAUCAAUUAAGUUAAAGCUCCCAUGAUGCAAUCACUUCCCUGCAUCCUCCCGUCUGAACAUCCUCGCCAUUGAGAACCAAGCCUUCAACACAUGAGUCUGGGCACAAUGAGUCACAUUGAAUCCAUUGAAGAUGUAAAUUUUAAUGGUUGAAAAUGACUAGCAUAUUAUGUCUGUGAAAUUCAGUAAAGGGGAAUGUGGAAGAGAACGUGUACUAAAACUAAGCGUUCUAGAACGCAUCUGUGCUCUUCCUUUCAAUCUGGAGAGUGAGACAAGGAAGUCUUAAGUUCAAGGCCAGCCUGGGCUAUGUAGUGUAUGCUACCAUUGGCUAUAUAAUCUGACUCCAGCAUUACAAGAAGUAGAGUAAAUAAAAGAUAAAAAAAAAUGACUAUAGAAGUAUCAAGAUAUUAUGACUCAUUCAUAUGAUUUCUGCAAUUGAUUUAGUAUGGCAUAUGAUUUAGUAAUCAAAGUGGAUGAAGAUGAUAUAUAUGCGUUAAUAAGAAUAAGUAUGUGAGACUAAACACAGAAUGUCCACCAGACACUGGGAAGUAAUUAGAUUCAACUCUUGUAAAAAUGUUCAACAGGAAGAAAAAAAAAACUAUAACUUUGCUUUAUACUUGGAUAGUUACUUUCAGUCAUACGGGUAUGGAAUAAAAUGAAAGGAAAAUGCAGAUGGGAUCUGAAGGCCAGCCUUCUAUUAUACUAUUAAAUUGUAGUGCAGGAAAGAAGAAGAGUUUGUUGUAUUUGAUGUUUUCCGAGGUUUUGUUUUUGUUUUUGAAGCAUCUUUUGUUUCACAGAUGCUGUUAAAUGUUGAACAUGACACAAUAAAAAGAAACAGACAAAAGUCACUGUCCUUGUGGAACUAGUAUGAAGAAAAAUCAGAUGUUAAUAAAACAAUCAUUCACAAGG